rnacentral:rRNA from 1 species
AUUGAACGCUGGCGGCAGGCCUAACACAUGCAAGUCGAGCGGCUGAAGGGAGCUUGCUCCUGGAUUCAGCGGCGGACGGGUGAGUAAUGCCUAGGAAUCUGCCUGGUAGUGGGGGAUAACGUCCGGAAACGGGCGCUAAUACCGCAUACGUCCUGAGGGAGAAAGUGGGGGAUCUUCGGACCUCCCGCUCUUAGAUGAGCCUAGGUCGGAUUAGCUAGUUGGUGGGGUAAAGGCCUACCAAGGCGACGAUCCGUAACUGGUCUGAGAGGAUGAUCAGUCACACUGGAACUGAGACACGGUCCAGACUCCUACGGGAGGCAGCAGUGGGGAAUAUUGGACAAUGGGCGAAAGCCUGAUCCAGCCAUGCCGCGUGUGUGAAGAAGGUCUUCGGAUUGUAAAGCACUUUAAGUUGGGAGGAAGGGCAGUAAGUUAAUACCUUGCUGUUUUGACGUUACCAACAGAAUAAGCACCGGCUAACUUCGUG